rnacentral:rRNA from 1 species
AGAGUUUGAUCAUGGCUCAGAUUGAACGCUGGCGGCAUGCCUUACACAUGCAAGUCGAACGGCAGCGCGGGGCAACCUGGCGGCGAGUGGCGAACGGGUGAGUAAUAUAUCGGAACGUGCCCUGGAGUGGGGGAUAACGCAGCGAAAGUUGCGCUAAUACCGCAUACGAUCUAAGGAUGAAGGCAGGGGACCGCAAGGCCUUGUGCUCCUGGAGCGGCCGAUAUCUGAUUAGCUAGUUGGUGGGGUAAAGGCCUACCAAGGCAUCGAUCAGUAGCUGGUCUGAGAGGACGACCAGCCACACUGGAACUGAGACACGGUCCAGACUCCUACGGGAGGCAGCAGUGGGGAAUUUUGGACAAUGGGCGAAAGCCUGAUCCAGCAAUGCCGCGUGAGUGAAGAAGGCCUUCGGGUUGUAAAGCUCUUUUGUCAGGGAAGAAACGGUAUGGGCUAAUAUCCCGUACUAAUGACGGUACCUGAAGAAUAAGCACCGGCUAACUACGUGCCAGCAGCCGCGGUAAUACGUAGGGUGCAAGCGUUAAUCGGAAUUACUGGGCGUAAAGCGUGCGCAGGCGGUUUUGUAAGUUUGUCGUGAAAGCCCCGGGCUCAACCUGGGAAUUGCGAUGAAGACUGCAAGGCUUGAAUCUGGCAGAGGGGGGUAGAAUUCCACGUAGCAGUGAAAUGCGUAGAGAUGUGGAGGAACACCGAUGGCGAAGGCAGCCCCCUGGGUCAAGAUUGACGCUCAUGCACGAAAGCGUGGGGAGCAAACAGGAUUAGAUACCCUAGUAGUCC